rnacentral:rRNA from 1 species
UACGGAGGUGGCAAGCGUUGUUCGGAAUUACUGGGCGUAAAGGGCGCGUAGGCGGCAAGGCAAGUCAGGUGUGAAAGCCCGAGCUUAACUCGGGAAUUGCAUCUGAAACUGCUGUGCUUGAGUUCUGGAGGGGUAGUGGAAUUCCCAGUGUAGCGGUGAAAUGCGUAGAUAUUGGGAGGAACACCUGCGGCGAAGGCGGCUACCUGGACAGAAACU